rnacentral:rRNA from 1 species
ACGGUAAGGCCCCUUCGGGGGUACACGAGUGGCGAACGGGUGAGUAACACGUGAGCAACCUGCCCUUGACUUCGGAAUACCAGCUGGAAACAGCUGCUAAUACCGGAUAUGACACUUGCCCUCAUGGGUGGGUGUGGAAAGCUCCGGCGGUCAGGGAUGGGCUCGCGGCCUAUCAGCUUGUUGGUGAGGUAAUGGCUCACCAAGGCUUCGACGGGUAGCCGGCCUGAGAGGGCGACCGGCCACACUGGGACUGAGAUACGGCCCAGACUCCUACGGGAGGCAGCAGUGGGGAAUAUUGCACAAUGGGCGCGAGCCUGAUGCAGCAACGCCGCGUGCGGGAUGACGGCCUUCGGGUUGUAAACCGCUUUCAGUAGGGACGAACCCACAAGCGACGGUCCCUACAGAAGAAGGACCGGCUAACUACGUGCCAGC